rnacentral:rRNA from 1 species
GAUGAACGCUGGCGGCGUGCCUAAUACAUGCAAGUCGAGCGAACGGACGAGAAGCUUGCUUCUCUGAUGUUAGCGGCGGACGGGUGAGUAACACGUGGAUAACCUACCUAUAAGACUGGGAUAACUUCGGGAAACCGGAGCUAAUACCGGAUAAUAUUUUGAACCGCAUGGUUCAAAAGUGAAAGACGGUCUUGCUGUCACUUAUAGAUGGAUCCGCGCUGCAUUAGCUAGUUGGUAAGGUAACGGCUUACCAAGGCAACGAUGCAUAGCCGACCUGAGAGGGGGAUGGGCCCAACUGGAACUGAGCCCGGGCCCGGACCCUAAGGGGAGGCACCGGUAGGGAUCUUUCGGAAAUGGGGGAAACCUGGCCGAAGCAACGCGGGUUGGGUGAUGAAGGUCUCCGGACGGGAAAACUCGGUUAUAGGGAAGAACAUAUGUGUAAGUAACUGUGCACAUCUUGACGGUACCUAAUCAGAAAGCCACGGCUAACUACGUG